AAUCCUAACCAUGAGUGCAUCUCUCUGUCUAAAAUUCGCUGCCGCUUUCAUUCCUCCUCUCCCCUCCUUUCUUUGCCCCCUUUGUUUUAUCUCAGGUGAAUUGUAAUCAUGUGAUCAAAACGAGCACCCCCUUCCCCUUAAAUGAAAAAAAAAUGGGGAACAAACAGCAGUUCUGUGCAUAUGAAAAAAGAAAAGAAAAGAAGGGAAAAGCUUGUGUCUUCCCUUCUUCUGCCACUCUUUGUCCGCGUCUCAACAAACUCUUGACAUGUGGGGAAAAAUGCUCCAGGAGCGCGGUGACUCGGCCCCGGGGAGCUGCGGUGGGACUGUCCGGCUCCUGGAGCUUUAAACCGGGGACCUUCGGAGAGCCACUCCGGGGACUUCUCUCCCGCUGCGGAGCGGAGGAUUGCGGCCCGGCCUCGGUUUGACGUGACCUUGGCUUCCAACCAACAACACAGCUUCCACCUCCGAGCCCUAUCGACAAAAGACACACACAACCAGCCGACAACUUUUCAUUAACUGCGUCUCCCUUUUGGUGUAAAGAUUUUAUAACUCCUAAAUUCACCGGGAGGUCGGGAGGGUAGAGCGCAGGUACCGACCGAUGUGUUACUGCAGAGAUGACACACAACACAAACCAGUUAAUGGUCACCAGGUAAAACUGGGGACUUUCGCUGAAGCCAGUUUCCAUAGGAACACAUCUCCUGUGGCAUUUGGGGCACUGAGAGAAGUGGAGAGAGUCACCACAGAUACGGCGGUGUAGGGGGGCUAGUAUACAGUAUUAAGUGCUCUCAUAACAUGAGUCAGAGAGGGAGGGAGAGAUGGGAUGAGAGAAAGGGCAUAAGGGCAGCAAUCCAACAUCUACAUACGAUUAUAAGUAGAUUCUAAAUAAGGCGUAAGAGGAGGCUCUUAGUUGAGACUUUUCUAAACUAUAUUACCGAGUCAGAACAUAAAUGAGGAAGAGAGAAAUCUGGAGUCUAGGACUUGGUUCAAAACGCAUUUUCAAAAAGCUUUUAGAUUUUGCUUUAUCCCACUUUAGUUCCCUUAUGAUUUGCUCAAAGGACACUCCACUCAGAGCAACAGGAUUUCAUUAACUACACAAAUAUACAUAAAGAAAUCGCAUAUCACACAUUUUAUUUAUUUUAUUAAUUCUAAGUAGGGUUGUAAAGAUGUAGAGAGAAGUAGAAAAUAAUAGUACAAGAAAGCAUGCAAUUCAUCUAUCAAAACAUUAACAAGAAUUUUUUAGUCAAUUAAUCUUUUAAGUGACUUAUAGAAAAUGCCAAGAAUUUACUUGUUUAAAUUUCUGAAAUGUAAAGAUUUUCUUCUUUUGUCUUUUUUUAAAUCAAAGUAAAUUGAAUAGACACAGACGACCACCCACCUACAGCCGAAGGAUCUGUCCUAGGUUUCUGCCUUUUAACAGGCAGUUUUUCCUUGCCCCUGUCGCCAAGUGCUUGCUCAUGGUGGUACUGUUGGGUCUCUGUAAAUAAUGUUAUAAAGAGUUUGGUCUAGACCUGCUCUAUUUGAAAAGUGUCCUGAGAUAACUUCUGUUAUGAAUUGGCGCUAUACAAAUAAAAUUGCACUGAAUUGAA